CCAGGACCAUCUGCUUGGCCGAUUUUGGCACUAGCACAUUUUUGCUUGUCUCUCUCUGCUCUGAGCAAUCAUGUGCAGUGCCAAUAUGGGAGAAGCGGG
rnacentral:pre_miRNA from 1 species